rnacentral:tRNA from 1 species
AGGGGUAUAGCUCAGUUGGUUAGAGCGCAGCCCUGAUAAGGCUGAGGUCGAUGGUUCGAGACCAUUUACCCCUACCA